UUUAUGGAGAGUUUGAUCCUGGCUCAGGAUGAACGCUGGCGGCGUGCCUAAUACAUGCAAGUCGAGCGAACGGACGAGAAGCUUGCUUCUCUGAUGUUAGCGGCGGACGGGUGAGUAACACGUGGAUAACCUACCUAUAAGACUGGGAUAACUUCGGGAAACCGGAGCUAAUACCGGAUAAUAUUUUGAACCGCAUGGUUCAAAAGUGAAAGACGGUCUUGCUGUCACUUAUAGAUGGAUCCGCGCUGCAUUAGCUAGUUGGUAAGGUAACGGCUUACCAAGGCAACGAUGCAUAGCCGACCUGAGAGGGUGAUCGGCCACACUGGAACUGAGACACGGUCCAGACUCCUACGGGAGGCAGCAGUAGGGAAUCUUCCGCAAUGGGCGAAAGCCUGACGGAGCAACGCCGCGUGAGUGAUGAAGGUCUUCGGAUCGUAAAACUCUGUUAUUAGGGAAGAACAUAUGUGUAAGUAACUGUGCACAUCUUGACGGUACCUAAUCAGAAAGCCACGGCUAACUACGUGCCAGCAGCCGCGGUAAUACGUAGGUGGCAAGCGUUAUCCGGAAUUAUUGGGCGUAAAGCGCGCGUAGGCGGUUUUUUAAGUCUGAUGUGAAAGCCCACGGCUCAACCGUGGAGGGUCAUUGGAAACUGGAAAACUUGAGUGCAGAAGAGGAAAGUGGAAUUCCAUGUGUAGCGGUGAAAUGCGCAGAGAUAUGGAGGAACACCAGUGGCGAAGGCGACUUUCUGGUCUGUAACUGACGCUGAUGUGCGAAAGCGUGGGGAUCAAACAGGAUUAGAUACCCUGGUAGUCCACGCCGUAAACGAUGAGUGCUAAGUGUUAGGGGGUUUCCGCCCCUUAGUGCUGCAGCUAACGCAUUAAGCACUCCGCCUGGGGAGUACGACCGCAAGGUUGAAACUCAAAGGAAUUGACGGGGACCCGCACAAGCGGUGGAGCAUGUGGUUUAAUUCGAAGCAACGCGAAGAACCUUACCAAAUCUUGACAUCCUUUGACAACUCUAGAGAUAGAGCUUUCCCCUUCGGGGGACAAAGUGACAGGUGGUGCAUGGUUGUCGUCAGCUCGUGUCGUGAGAUGUUGGGUUAAGUCCCGCAACGAGCGCAACCCUUAAGCUUAGUUGCCAUCAUUAAGUUGGGCACUCUAAGUUGACUGCCGGUGACAAACCGGAGGAAGGUGGGGAUGACGUCAAAUCAUCAUGCCCCUUAUGAUUUGGGCUACACACGUGCUACAAUGGACAAUACAAAGGGCAGCGAAACC
rnacentral:rRNA from 1 species